UUAUAAUAAUCGAAUUGCGAUUUCAACUUGGACCUGCUAUAUUCCAUAUUAGGCUAGAAUUAACGAAUAUGGAAUAUAAGUUACAAUCGCAUUACGCGAUAAUGACAGCUACGUACGCGAAUACAACAGUCUAAUUUACUAGUGUUUGGCUCAAUAUCAAUAAGUUUCAUUCGUACGCGAAUACAACUUAGAGCAAGGUACCAAUAUGAAAUUUGCCUGCCUAUACAGUCUACUAUGUUUGGUUCGUUAUCUCGAUAAAACGUAAUUUAAAUAAUCGUGAGCGUGCGUGCGCGCGUACGUCUGUAGGGGCGUGACUAGGAUCGCAUAGAGAGUGGAGAGAGACCGAUUAGAGCGACAGACAGAAGAAAGAAAAUGGCAAGAAGCAAUUUCGGUGAGGAAGAGCUGGAAUAUCUGAUCACUGUAAGUAAUUCUACCGGAAAAAGUAUGUCACUGUGCUGUUGUCCAAGUCCAAGGUGCGGCCACUGUUCCAAGUCACUCUUAAAGGGGCGGUCACUGUUCUAGUCACUGUUAUAGGUGCGGCCACUGUUCCAAGUGACUCUUAAAGGGGAAGCCACUGUUCAAGUGACUCUUAAAGGGAAAGCCACUGUUCAAGUCACUGUUAAAGGGGAGGUCUUUGUCAAAGUCACAAUUAAACGGGCGGACUCUGUCAAGGUCACUGUUACAUGGGAGGCCAUUGUUGAAAGUCACUGUUAAAGUGGCAUCCACUGUGGAGUUUAAUUCUUAUAGUUGCUUUGAAUAAAAAUGUUUUUAUUAUUACUUUACUUUUAUAUAGUUCCAUAGGGAACUAUAUAAAUAUGUACUUGUUUACCAUUUUCAUAUUAAAUUAUAUUUUUUUUAUGGUUGAGAUGACUAUAAUUACUAAUAAUUGUAUUUUACAACUUUGAGAUUACAUCCUUUAAUUGGUAUAUUGCAGAAUAUGUUGGAAAAGGGCUACAACGACCGUACUUGUCGGGGAGAAAAAUAGGCAAUUCUGAGAAUUGCCCAGGCUUUAUGGAAUAAGAAUGGAAAGAAGCAUACUAAAGAUUCUUAUCUUAAAAAAUGGUCGGACUUAAAAAGGCAUAAGAUGGAUCUUAUUAAAAAAAGGUCAGAGACAAAAACUGUCCAGGGGCUACUCUUCCAAAAGUGCGCUCUAAUAAGAAGGUGGUGGAAGAGGAGAUGAUGGAGGAUGAGGAGCAGGAAGAGGAGCAGCCAGGACCAUCAGGGCAUCAGGCCCAUUGCCCACCUGAGGCAGUUCAGGUCCAGGAGGAGGAGGAGGACGACGAGGUGGUGACCACCCCCCGCCAGGAGGCGAUAAACAACUUAAUGAGAGAAGUUAAAAAAGUGCAGCGGGCGCCGGAUGAGAAAAUUGAGGGUGCAGCUGCUGAAAAGGGUGAGGGAUGAGCUGGCCCUAGCGGAGGAGGCCAACCAAAAGGCCCUGGAUGGACUGUUCAAACAGUUAAAAGAAAUAAAAAAAUGUCCUUAAUUUUUUUUUUCAUUUUUUUUUU